rnacentral:rRNA from 1 species
CACGUAGGCGGACACUUAAGUUGGAGGUGAAAGCCUUGGGCUCAACCCAAGAAUUGCCUUUGAUACUGGAUGUCUCGAGACCGGGAGAGGUGAGUGGAAUUCCGAGUGUAGAGGUGAAAUUCGUAGAUAUUCGGAAGAACACCAGUGGCGAAGGCGGCUCACUGGCCCGGUUCUGACGCUGAGGUGCGAAAGCGUGGGGAGCAAACA